rnacentral:lncRNA from 1 species
UCUUUUAUACUUGAUGAUUAUAGAUGUUUAAAUGAAAGAAUGUAAAGGCCUAUUUUGGAGAAUAUGAAUGAUGUAAAAGAGAUUAUGUUAAAUGCAAAAAGUUAUAUUUUGAGAUAUCAUGUGAUGUAUCAGAGAAGAAAUGAUGUUAAAAAAAGGAAUGUAAAUGUAUAAGUUGAAUGCAUGUAUAUGGUUAAAAGUUAAUCAUUGUACUUGUAUAUUGUUUAGUUUAGUACUUUCACUUUCGCUACU